UAUUUGGUUGUCUAAAUACUGUUCUUGUUUGUCUUUACCAGCUGUGAAACAAGAAAGUCAUUUUGUCUACGCUUGUGUCUGUGAGAGGAGAAGAGCAAGAUGAGUUUUCCAAGUGAGUGUUAUCAGUUCUUUAGGAUUUUCUCUCCCUUGGAUACUAGGACCAUGAAGAAACCACCAUAGUGAUUCAACUUUCUCACUCUUAUCGAAAGAUGCUGCAAUGAAGAUUAUGUAGGAUCCCUAACUCACCAACUGAAGCAUAUUGAGAACUGAUUAUUACUUCCCGGGUUUGCUGUCCUGCAGGUCCAGACAACUCUUACUGGCAUACUGAGUU
rnacentral:lncRNA from 1 species